rnacentral:rRNA from 1 species
UACGAAGGGGGCUGGCGUUGCUCGGAAUCACUGGGCGUAAAGGGUGCGUAGGCGGGUUUUUAAGUCAGGGGUGAAAUCCUGGAGCUCAACUCCAGAACUGCCUUUGAUACUGAAGAUCUUGAGUUCGGGAGAGGUGAGUGGAAUUGCGAGUGUAGAGGUGAAAUUCGUAGAUAUUCGCAAGAACACCAGUGGCGAAGGCGGCUCACUGGCCCGGAACUGACGCUGAGACGCGAAAGCGUGGGGAGCAAACAGG